AGGUCAUUCUCAUCCGCAAACAUACCCACAGGUGGGCUUCAGAGAGAAGAUGCUGGUUUGAUCUUUCAUAUGGCAGUGUUUCCUUCCUCCACGGAGAACUGCCUUCACGGUUUAUGAUUUGCUUGCAAACUUCAUCAAGUAAAUGGACAAACUGAAGACAUGCUUCCCAUGUCUCAUGAAAUCAAGCUUUAAUUUGGGCAAGCAAUUGAAUUGAGGGCGGUAAAGAAAUGCCAAGGGUUUGACCAACUUGGACUCUGUGACAAGCUGCAGUGGGCUUGGUGGCCCACGAGCACCAGAAGCUUAGCCCUGGGAGGCGUCCUGUGCACUCUGUCCGGAGUUCAGAGAUAGAAACUGUUAGCAUUCUGUCUAAGCUCCACCCCACAGUUACCUGGCAACAACAAACUCCACCCCACAGUUACCUGGCAACAGCCAGGCA